rnacentral:rRNA from 1 species
AUUGAACGCUGGCGGCAUGCUUUACACAUGCAAGUCGAACGGCAGCGCGGGCUUCGGCCUGGCGGCGAGUGGCGAACGGGUGAGUAAUUCAUCGGAACGUGCCCAGUAGUGGGGGAUAGCCCGGCGAAAGCCGGAUUAAUACCGCAUACGACCUGAGGGUGAAAGCGGGGGACCGAAAGGCCUCGCGCUAUUGGAGCGGCCGAUGUCGGAUUAGCUAGUUGGUGGGGUAAAGGCUUACCAAGGCGACGAUCCGUAGCUGGUCUGAGAGGACGACCAGCCACACUGGGACUGAGACACGGCCCAGACUCCUACGGGAGGCAGCAGUGGGGAAUUUUGGACAAUGGGGGCAAGCCUGAUCCAGCCAUGCCGCGUGCGGGAAGAAGGCCUUCGGGUUGUAAACCGCUUUUGUUCGGGAAGAAAUCCUCUGGGCUAAUACCCCGGGGGGAUGACGGUACCGGAAGAAUAAGCACCGGCUAACUACGUG